GAUUAACGCUGGCGGCGUGCCUAAUACAUGCAAGUCGAGCGAACGGACGAGAAGCUUGCUUUUCUGAUGUUAGCGGCGGACGGGUGAGUAACACGUGGAUAACCUACCUAUAAGACUGGGAUAACUUCGGGAAACCGGAGCUAAUACCGGAUAAUAUUUUGAACCGCAUGGUUCAAAAGUGGAAGACGGUCUUGCUGUCACUUAUAGAUGGAUCCGCGCUGCAUUAGCUAGUUGGUAAGGUAACGGCUUACCAAGGCAACGAUGCAUAGCCGACCUGAGAGGGUGAUCGGCCACACUGGAACUGAGACACGGUCCAGACUCCUACGGGAGGCAGCAGUAGGGAAUCUUCCGCAAUGGGCGAAAGCCUGACGGAGCAACGCCGCGUGAGUGAUGAAGGUCUUCGGAUCGUAAAACUCUGUUAUUAGGGAAGAACAUAUGUGUAAGUAACUGUGCACAUCUUGACGGUACCUAAUCAGAAAGCCACGGCUAACUACGUG
rnacentral:rRNA from 1 species